GUUUUCAAACCAAUAACAACUGGGACAAGUAACAGGUGUGAGGUCUUUAAUUUGUACUACAGCUUCUCCAAUACCUAGUCAAAACUCAGGUUUGCAGUUUUUAUUUUUGGCAGGUUCAAUUCAGCCCUUUAACCAUUCAGAGAAAAUAUGACUAAUGUUAAUUUAAUAUCUCCUAACACUGGACAGUAUGCACGCCAAAUUGCAU